GAAGUACUCCCUCCGUCCGAAAAUACUUGUCAUAAAAAUGGACAAAAAAGGAUGUAUCUAGAACUAAAAUACAUCUAGAUACAUCAUUUUUUAUUCAUUUUGAUGACAAGUAUUUCCGGACGGAGGGAGUACCAC
rnacentral:pre_miRNA from 1 species